UAGGGAAUUUUCCACAAUGGACGAAAGUCUGAUGGAGCAACGCCGCGUGCAGGAUGAAGGCCCUUGGGUCGUAAACUGCUUUUAUAUGUGACGAUUAUGACGGUAGCAUAUGAAUAAGGAUCGGCUAACUCCGUGCCAGCAGCCGCGGUCAUACGGAGGAUCCAAGCGUUAUCCGGAAUUACUGGGCGUAAAGAGUUGCGUAGGUGGCAUGGUAAGUUGGUAGUGAAAGCGUGUGGCUCAACCACAUAUCCAUUAUCAAAACUGCCAAGCUAGAGGAUGAGAGAGGUUAUUGGAAUUCCCAGUGUAGGAGUGAAAUCCGUAGAUAUUGGGAGGAACACCGAUGGCGUAGGCAGAUAACUGGCUCAUUCCUGACACUAAGGCACGAAAGCGUGGGUAGCAAACGGGAUUAGAUACCCCCGUAGUCC
rnacentral:rRNA from 1 species